UACGAAGGUCCCGAGCGUUAUCCGGAUUUAUUGGGUUUAAAGGGUGCGUAGGCGGGUUAUUAAGUCAGUGGUGAAAGCUCUCGGCUCAACCGGGAAAUUGCCAUUGAUACUGAUGAUCUUGAGUAUGAUUGAGGUGGGCGGAAUGUGUCAUGUAGCGGUGAAAUGCUUAGAUAUGACACAGAACACCGAUUGCGAAGGCAGCUCACUAAGCCAUAACUGACGCUGAUGCACGAAAGCGUGGGGAGCAAACAGG
rnacentral:rRNA from 2 species